CAGUAGGUGGGGAGAGAAGAGAAGUGAGAGGAUGUGAGAGUAAACAGCCCUACAGACACCAAGGUCAGUGCAGAAGGAUGGGGAGAAGGUGCUCCGGGUGCCAGAGCAGAGAUUCCCCUGCAGCCCAU